rnacentral:rRNA from 1 species
UAAAGGCCUACCAAGGCGACGAUCUGUAGCGGGUCUGAGAGGAUGAUCCGCCACACUGGGACUGAGACACGGCCCAGACUCCUACGGGAGGCAGCAGUGGGGAAUAUUGGACAAUGGGCGGAAGCCUGAUCCAGCCAUGCCGCGUGUGUGAAGAAGGCCUUUUGGUUGUAAAGCACUUUAAGCGAGGAGGAGGCUACUCUGAUUAAUACUCAGGGAUAGUGGACGUUACUCGCAGAAUAAGCACCGGCUAACUCUGUGCCAGCAGCCGCGGUAAU